UUUAAUAAACUUGCUGUGCGGAGAUAUGCGCUUAGACGCAACUAAAUAAGGAUUGUACUGUUUGGAAUCGCGCAUUAUAUAAGAAUACCAAAAAGCGCGUCGAGUUUCCUGACUCGCGUGUUUGUGUAUGUGUGUUCCAAUCGCGUGAACUGUUUGACGGAAGAACAAAGAAAACACUCGCAUCUGGAGAUACUGACACACAUACGCAAGGAAAUAAGGAUUUAUGUCAUGUUUGGUGCAAUCGGAUGGAACAACAAGGAAUGGAGAGACUGGAUUGUGGAUUGCAUAUCCAUUGACUGCAGGAGGCACGAGUCAUGCAUAUGGAUGUUUCUGCUCAUUCACUUCAAUGGCGCGGGGGUGUGGCGAUCCGAUCUCAUUACAGAUAAUGAGACAUUACUGCCUCUUGGAGAACAGCAAACCAUUCUCCAGACAGAGACAAAGACAUGGACAUCAAAACAGAAAAUGAAGUACUUGAUCUUGGAUUGUUUGGAGUGAACGCUGGAAAAUAAUGAAGCAGGAAAUGAAAAUGCUUGACUAAAACAAUUUUUAUACUUGGCUGUAAGAAGUCCUUUGUGUGCACAGACAUGACUGGAGAUUAAAGUUACUAAAUGUUGCUUUUUUCUAGCUGGUGACAUAACAUGGUAUUAUUUUCAAAUGUAUUUAUCUAAUACACAUUUGCACAUUUGUAAACAUUCAUUUUAUAUUGCAUUUUUUUAUAUUUAACCAGUUGUUGUAUAUAUUGCUUUCUGUUAUUACAUCUGUUUUUUUUCACCUGUUUAUUGUUUAAAACAAUUAAGUUUAUGUUUCUCUGUUAGCUUUUAUGUUACUUUGGCUAUUUCUUUGCUUUUAUUUGAUCCUUCUACUGUUAUUUGUUUAUUUGGCAGAACAUUUGACAUUUCAUUUAUUUUGCUGUUAUCUGAAAUUAUUCUUGUCAGCAUCAAUAAAACACUAUAUUUGCUUUAUAUCUGUGUUUUUCAAUUAUACAUUU